UCUCCUGUUAUUCAAUUAACCAUUUACAAAACUUAUAUCAAAUCCAAUGUUAUUGAAAGGUAAACAUUAUUUUGAUAAAAAAGCUAUGAAUGGGAUUUGGGGAUACUUUGAGUUCAUUUUUAGUUAAAAAUGUCGCUGUGAAACUCCUACUUCUACAUGUGUUAUUUGGAGAGACUUCUAAAUAAAAAUAACACGACAUCUAUCCAAAGACGAACAAGAAAAUAUUUACAAAAGACAACUGAUGGCAGACUUAUUGUCUCUCUGCAACUUCAUUGGCAGAUACAAAACUUUAAUUUCAAUCCAAACCCAGAUAACCUCUGAUCACUUCAUCCAUGGAGAUCAUCUCAAACCCCAUAAAGCUUCUCCAUUUUAUCAAUUAUUGCUACUCUGUUCAUCUUCUUCUUCCUCUGCUUUUCUCCCGCCAUGGCUACUGAUGAAGAUGACAUAAGAUGCCUACGAGGAAUCCAGACCUGAUUCCUCUCUCACCGACCCUCAGAGAGUUCUCAAAUUAUGAAAUUUCGGCGGCGCGUCUUGUUGGAACAAUCAAGAGAACAUAGUCAUCAAUCUCGUGCUUUAAGACAUGGGUUUAUCUGGUCGGAUCCCAGAGUCUUUUCAAUAUUAUGGUAGCUUACAAAAGCUUGAUCGAUCUAGCAAUCAAUAGUCUGGUAACAUUCCUCCAAAGCUAUGUACUUGGUAACCGUUCUUGAUGUCCCUUGAUCUGUUUAAUAAUGAAUUGGAUGGUGAGAUUCCUCCUAGUUUAGCUGAGUGUAGGUUCAUGAACUCUUUGGUACGAUCUGAGAAUCAAUUUUUUUUUCUUUUUUUUGAUAUUGCAGCUGGUGUGUUUGGAGUUUGAUGGUAUAUACGAGAAAGAGAGUAGUUAAAAACGAAGGAGUUAAUAUCUUAGCGCAGAGACUUAGCCAUAUGGUAGCGCAAGUCUCUUUGUUUAAGAAGCCUUUGGUUAAGGUUAAGCUUGGGGACUUGAUGGCUGCAACUAAUGCACUUGCAGUGAAGCACUUGAGUGAGUGUAAGCUUGGGGAGAAGGAGUUUCGGUAUGAGAUGAAUCAGUUGUGGGAGCUGUGUAACCGUAACUUGUUCAGAAGUUCUUCUUCUCAGUAGUAGCACCUCCACCAGACCUCAUGAACACUAGACAUAUCCUCCCUCUUCCUCUUAGCAACCUUAAGAGCCCUCUUUCUUUACCAACUUUGAGAAGCCUCAAUGGUUUUCUCUCGUAAGGAGCAAAUUCAGUUAGUUCCAUUAUCAAUGAUCUGAUGAACCACAUUGUCUUCCUCGUUUUCCCUUUGCGAGAGUUACGAUACGGAGCAAACUCGUGUCUUGUAAACGAUGUGUCAUUUGUUCAAAAAAUAAUGAAACAACAUAGAUUAAUAAUAUCAAA